rnacentral:rRNA from 1 species
GACGAACGCUGGCGGCGUGCUUAACACAUGCAAGUCGAACGGAAAGGCCCUGCUUUUGUGGGGUGCUCGAGUGGCGAACGGGUGAGUAACACGUGAGUAACCUGCCCUUGACUUUGGGAUAACUUCAGGAAACUGGGGCUAAUACCGGAUAGGAGCUCCUGCUGCAUGGUGGGGGAUGGAAAGAUUCGGCGGUUGGGGAUGGACUCGCGGCUUAUCAGCUUGUUGGUGGGGUAGUGGCUUACCAAGGCUUUGACGGGUAGCCGGCCUGAGAGGGUGACCGGCCACAUUGGGACUGAGAUACGGCCCAGACUCCUACGGGAGGCAGCAGUGGGGAAUAUUGCAGAAUGGGCGGAAGCCUGAUGCAGCAACGCCGCGUGCGGGAUGACGGCCUUCGGGUUGUAAACCGCUUUCGCCUGUGACGAAGCGUGAGUGACGGUAAUGGGUAAAGAAGCACCGGCUAACUACGUG